UAAAGCAUCGACGAAAUCUUCAUUUCCAGACUCACCGUUACAUUUCUUACCUUUUGCUCGAUUCUCUAUAUGAUCAUUAAUGAUUUUCUCCAACAUUUCAUCAAUCUUUGAGUGUGCCUUUGACAAUUUAGAUUUCAUUCCACUAACAUUAUGGAGCCACUUUUGGGAAGGGAACAAAUCACUUAAGUCGAAUCCUCCAAUCAAUGAAUAAA
rnacentral:misc_RNA from 1 species